CCAAGAAAUAUAUUCAAUAACUCAAAAAGAUUACAAAGAGUCUCGAGUUUGAAGUUAGAAACAUUGAACAAGAGGAGUACAGGUCAUUUAUGUGGCUUUCAAAUCUAGAGAGGAUCAUCGGAAGCAGCUUGAAUUGGAGGAAGCGCGUAAAGCGGGGCUUGCACCAGCAGAGGUUGAUGAAGAUGGAAAAGAGAUUAACCCUCACAUUCCUCAGUAUAUGUCGUCUGCACCUUGGUAUCUUAAUGCUGAGAGACCAAGUUUAAAACAGGAUCCAAAUUAUACAAAAUCCUGGUAUGAUAGAGGUGCAAAAAUAUUUCAGGCAGAUAAGUACAGGAAGGGAGCAUGUGAAAAGUAAGUGGACCUUGCUCGUACUGUUUCCAAGUUCAUGUUGGUUGCACUAAGGAAUUUUACAUUCUUGACUGAGAUAUGGAAAAAUACUUUCAGUAUUGGGCAUGAAAAGUUUAUUGAUAGUGUAAUAGUGAUAAUGACUGGGGGGACCUGUCUGUAGCACUAUAGGUCUCCAUUGCUCAUAACUCUCAUGGGCAUUAGAUGAAAAAUACAAAUUGAGGUUGUAUUUUUUGAGGUGUUGCCAGAGCACUUACUGCCCUUGGGCAUUAAGUAGCCUUGGGUAACUAGUACUAAGCAGAGUCAUAAUCAGCUUAUCAUCCUAAGUAUUACCUUUCCUC